UGUUUCCAUUAUUUCAAUUAUUAUUUUGUUUGAGGAAUAAAAUCCUCAAUCCAUGUUUUGUCGGUUGUAAAAAUGUUCCGAAUAAAUCUAAAGAUAUUACAUAUAGAAAACGCGGCAUCCACCUUGUGGACACUUUUUCAAUCUAUAAUUCUUCGAUCAGAAGAGGUUUUUGCCGUGUUAUAGUUUUUAUAUGUCAAUGUGGUGGGCCUGACUUUUUUUUAUUUUAAUACGAUAAACAAAAAAAAAAAAUAUUGAUAGAGGCGUACCGAGUUUUGAGGAGACAAAGCAACUGGUUCCUUUUUUAUUAAAUCAGCACAUUUUUUCGACUGUUGUGGAAAUAAAUUCAAGUUUAACCCAAUACCAAAUGAUGUUAGUUCGUAAGCCACCUUGCAUUACUUGGUGAAGAGAUAAUAGCGAAAUCAAUGACAGUUGAAAGAAGAAAUUGGAGAGUUAGGAAAAUAAAAGAUGGGUGUUUGAUGAAAUUGAAAAGAAGAUGAAAAAAAAAAUCAAUUUAUAAAAAUUCAAGGGCUCGGCUUUAUUCAAAGAUAUACUUUAUGAAGAGGAACUUCAUACAUAAAUGCAAGUCAUUCGGAACUUCAAAAAAAUAUAUAAAAACACUUAAUAGCUGUGGAAAUUGACAGCCAGAGUUAUUUUUUUUUUUUUUUGCUUCUUCAACAAUUCAAUCGAAAACGUAACCUCUCUGUCGAAUAUAUGCUUAAUUAAAAGAAAUAAGUGUAUAAUUUAUUGAUUUGUUUAUACAUCAAUAUAAUUAAUGGCGUUGCGCGGUGAUGAUAUCGAAGCAGACUGACUAUACGCGACCCAUCAUAAUAAAUUAAGUUGUAAGGAAUACUGUAUAUUUAAAUUUUCAGUUGUUGUUUUUUUUUUGUAAUUACGUUUACACAUUUUUUAAAUGGUUUUGUCUAUUUUGCAAUUCAGUUUUGUUAUUAUCGUGAUGGAGAAAUUAGAAAAAAAAAAAAUAUAUAUUAACUCAUCAAUUUUGCACGUGUACAAAAAAUGUA